rnacentral:rRNA from 1 species
UACGUAGGGUGCGAGCGUUAAUCGGAAUUACUGGGCGUAAAGUGUGCGCAGGCGGCCGCGCAAGUCGAGUGUGAAAGCCCCGGGCUUAACUUGGGAAUUGCGCUCGAAACUACGUGGCUAGAGUGUGGCAGAGGGAGGUGGAAUUCCACGUGUAGCGGUGAAAUGCGUAGAGAUGUGGAGGAACACCGAUGGCGAAGGCAGCCUCCUGGGCCAACACUGACGCUCAUGCACGAAAGCGCGGGGAGCAAACAGG